UACGUAGGGUGCAAGCGUUGUCCGGAAUUAUUGGGCGUAAAGAGCUCGUAGGCGGUUUGUCGCGUCUGCUGUGAAAACCCGAGGCUCAACCUCGGGCCUGCAGUGGGUACGGGCAGACUAGAGUGCGGUAGGGGAGAUUGGAAUUCCUGGUGUAGCGGUGGAAUGCGCAGAUAUCAGGAGGAACACCAAUGGCGAAGGCAGAUCUCUGGGACGGUACUGACACUGAGACGCGAAAGCGUGGGGAGCGAACAGG
rnacentral:rRNA from 1 species